rnacentral:rRNA from 1 species
UCUAUGGAUUAUACCACCUUGAAUGUGCCUGACCUUUUCUGAUCUCAGAAGACAAGUCAAGUCAAGCCUGUUAGUACUUAGAUGGAAGAAAUGAUUGGGAAUUUCAGUUUCUUUAUAC